AGAUUGUCGUGGCAGCAUGGCCGAACAGAAAGUAGAAGAACAACUUGGAAAGAUGAGUGUGUCUAAUUCUAAAAAGGCAUGACAUUUUUUCGUCUUCAAAAUCCCCAAUAAUGCUUUCAAAGUCAGUUCUCUUGCGUAUUUCAAGGAAACUUGGACCACGGUUCAUAGUUAGUUCCACUAGGAGUUCCAAGAAAACGGAGAAAGAGACCAAAGCAAAGUUAAAGGAUCUGGUUCCACCCCCAGAGUUCAUUGCAUACAGAGAAAAACUCUGGCAGGAGCUAAAAGCAGACUAUGAUAAAUGGUUGGCUGCCCAGCCCCAGGAUCCAAUAAAGGUGACCUUACCAGACGGUAAACAGGUGGAGGGUCAGGCCUGGAAAACUACGCCCUACGAUGUUGCUAAAGGAAUCAGCCAAGGCUUGGCUGACAACACUGUGGUGGCUAAAGUAGAUGGAGAGUUAUGGGAUCUGGAUAGGCCAUUCGAGAAGGACUCCUCUCUACAGCUUCUGAAGUUUGAUGAUAAAGAUGGCCAGUAUGUUUUUUGGCACUCAAGUGCUCACAUCCUAGGAGAAGCGAUGGAGAAGUUGUAUGGGGGACAUCUAUGUUAUGGGCCGCCGAUAGAGGAGGGCUUUUACUAUGACAUGUGGUGUGAGAGUGCAGCAGUGUCCAGCAAUGACUUUGGUAGUAUAGAAGACAAAGUGAAAGGAAUCGUCAAGGAAAAACAGCCAUUUGAAAGAUUAGAAAUGAAGAAGGAAGAUUUACUCAAAAUGUUUGAGUAUAACAAAUUCAAACAAAGGAUUCUGAAUGAGAAGGUGACCACUCCUACCACUACAGUAUAUAAAUGUGGACCAUUGAUAGAUUUAUGCAGGGGACCACAUGUUAGACACACGGGUAAAAUCAAGUCGUUUUCUGUAACCAAGAGUUCAGCCACUUACUGGGAGGGCAAGGCUGAUGCGGAGUCUCUCCAGAGAAUCUAUGGAAUCUCAUUCCCUGACCCCAAACAGCUCAAAGAGUGGAAACACUUCCAGGAAGAGGCUGCCAAAAGAGACCACAGAAAAAUUGGCAAGGAACAAGAGCUGUUCUUUUUCCAUGAGCUUAGUCCAGGCAGUUGUUUUUUCUUACCAAAAGGAGCCUAUAUUUACAAUACUUUAAUUGACCUUAUCAAGAGUGAGUACAGAAAACGAGGCUUCCAGGAGGUGGUGUCCCCCAACAUCUACAACGCUAAGUUGUGGGAGAGGUCUGGCCACUGGCAGCACUAUGCGGAAAACUUGUUCCAGUUUGAUGUUGAGAAAGAGAAGUUUGCCCUGAAGCCAAUGAAUUGCCCUGGGCACUGUUUGAUGUUUGACCACCGCCAGCGGUCGUGGCGUGAAUUGCCCCUCAGAAUGGCCGACUUUGGAGUGUUACACAGUGUAUUGUUGUCCCUGUGGCUCCUCCAUUCAAUGAAUAUGCUAACCAGGUCCGGCAGCAGUUACAUGACGCAGGGUUUAUGUGUGAAGCUGACGUUGACGACGGCAACACACUGAACAAGAAAGUCCGCAAUGCGCAGAUCGCCCAGUUCAACUUCAUUCUAGUUGUGGGUGAAAAGGAAUUGGAAAACAAGACGGCCAAUGUCCGUACACGCUGCACCAAGGUCCACGGCGAACACAGUAUAGCGGACAUCAUCACCAAGUUCUCCAAGUUCAAGGCCACCCGCUGUCUAGACGCGGAGGACAAGUUUGAAUAAGUGACAGUUCCCCUCAUGGAGCCUUUAUUUAUUUCUUUGAUUGUGAUUGGCUUUCACAUUACCCCAGUAACAAUCAUGUUUACGUAGUGCUUUGAAAACCUGUGGACUUUAAAUUGAUGGGCUCUGAAGUAUUCCUGGAUGUAUGUAGAUAAAUAAAUUUGAUAAUUCUUCGGAAGAGAGUACUUACUUCAGUAAUCUUCCCUUUCAAUUUGUGCAAUUUUUUGGGCUAUGUCACAAGGAGACUGGUUGUAGAUCGGGUAUUUUGAGGUACAGUGUAUCAAGAAAACAGUUGAAUGAUGUAAUAAUGCUUUGUAGAAUGGUGCACUCUGUUUAUUCGUAAUUGAUAAACAAUAAAACCUGACAUUAUUUACUUGCACUAUGAUUGCAUUCAUUGUCUUCUCAACUGUCCAUGAAAUAAAAUGAUUUUAUCAAACAC
rnacentral:misc_RNA from 1 species